CAGGGCUGUUCAGUCACGAACUGUGUGGAGAUAGCCCACGUUCCCUUCCAACAGCCAGCUCUCUCACUCUGUUUCUUAUGCCAAAAGGGCUACGUAGGAAGACAGGGCUUUUCCAUGGCUGUAGGGUCUGUUUGGGCAGGCUGCUGCAAACACAAGGGAAAAGUAACUCAGCAUCCCGGGACGUGUCUGCUGAAGGAAUAAAGGCUCCUUGUCCAUGCAACUGAAGACCCAUUACCUUCAAAACAGGUCAGGUCCUAAGUCAGGAUUUAGAAGAGCUCCCUGAAGUCCAUCAUAUUGUUUCAAGGAAUGGUCUGACUUCAGUCUCUAUGCACUACAUGGAAAAACAUGUACCCAUCCCUUACCCUGGUGUUUGCACUCAUGUGACAGCAGAAGAAUUCAGUUUUAGCACUCACACCACUCUCUUAGGAGGUGUUCUCAGGUAUUUGAAACAACUGUGCUACCCCAGUGAGCUGCAGAAGGUGUGGUGCCUCCCUCCUGCAGCAGGCUGCGUGCUGGGGACCAGCAGGGAAAUCCACCAAAGCAAAUCAGCCCUGCUCUGUUUGGAUAGUGUGUGACUGGUUGACUUCGUCACAACUCAUGGAGCAGCUCUACUCUUGCUUCUUCCCAUCAUCACAGAAGAUUUAGUGGCAUUUGGUAACAGGACUGCUGGAACAACUCCUCACUUUAAAAAGGUUUACAUUAAUGUACUUGUCCUGCUGGACUCAGCCCAUUGAAGUCAGCCCCAAACAGCACAGAAACAAGAUGUCUCCAAGUUGCAUUGGGUAGGUAAGUGCAGUGUAAUUCUGAUCUGAGCUUGCCAGGGGUUCUUCUGCUUGUACACAGCCUACAGGGAACACCAUAGGCAAAGUCCCACUGGUCCUUGUCUCUGGAGGUGUUUGGACUUCAGUUUCAGCGCUGACCAAAGCUCAGAAUCAGACAUCCAUAGAGAUAUUAAGUAGAGGGCAUGUGAAAAGACAAGUUGAUUCAAUUGUAUUACAGCUGAGGUAGAUUUAGAUCUCUACAAAGUCUGGCACUGGUUCCUAUUUUUCACACAAAGUGUUCUCUUCAAUCUUAAAAAUGGCUUUGAUGUGUGCUGAGUACCAAAGAGGCUGUGAUCAAUUUGUUAGAAUGAGUUUAUUAAAGAAGAGGAUUCCCGGAAGAAGAAAUAGGGAAUGUGGCAAUUGAGAUGCAUUCUGAAAACCUGAGCUUCCCCUCCCCAGCUUUGCUGCAGCACCAGUGUUUUGCACACAAACUGCAGCUCUGAGCUCUGAUGCUUGAUCUGCUUUUCUCCUCUGAGCACCGGAUGAUUCCUUCCUCUUCCCUCCCCACCACACCAUGAAUGAUCAAAAAAAAUGCCAAAUUUCUGAAAACAUUCCCUUUUGAGGUAGACCCAACCUGUGUGCAAAUUGGGGUCAAAUUCCAUGGGCAGUUUCAGCUAGCAGCAUGCAGAACAUGGUGAAACAUUUUUGUUUUGACAUCAAACUGAAAUGUUUUGAAAUGGCCUCUUUAAAAAUUUCAGAACUAAUGCAAAUUUUGUUAAGCCUAGCAUUAAAAACCAGACCACACAAUAAAGUAUAUUUUUCUCUUUCUGUUGAAGGAGCCACUUAGGCUUGACUUUAAUCAUCUCUAUGGUCUUAUUUUGUUUUGCCAAAAUGGUUGACCCAAAUUUCCUCAGAUUGCUUUAGGUUCAGCCACUCACAUGGCUGUUCAACCAGCUAUAAUUCAUACAUCUCUUCCAGUUUCUUGCCUUCUGCCCUGGCUUUCCUCCUGUAUAGUCUGUUUGCCUCCAUCCCCCAUCCAGUUUGAUGCCAGUCCUCACUAAACCCUCUCUGUUUAUGAUACACUCCCUCCUCUCAAGGCUGUUCCUUGGUGGAGGGCCAUUUAAUUGUUUGGCAUAAUUCCCUCAUUAUUCAGUGCCACACGUGUAUGUACACAUAAUAGGAAUGAAUAAUGGAUGCUAAUAAUGCAUAAUUAAUUCAUGAUAAGUGCCUGUUACAAAGUCAGCAUCAGAAGUGGGAUCAAGGCAGGAAAAUUGUCCAUCCCUAUUUUGGGUUCCCAGUGAGGGGUUUGAAAAAACUCAAGCUCAGGGUGCAGCGUGAUGCCCCUCCAAAUUACAGAGUGGGGUCUGGAGAGAGGAGGAGAGACUGUCCCCAUGAACUCAUAGCAGAGGGAAGGACUGAAAACUGCAGUGCCAGGAGAUGAGGCUGUUACUCCCACAUAGCACUGUGUGAAACUGGGCUGGGGACCAAUUCCUCCUGUACCUGCUCCUCAUCCUUCCCAACCCAGGAGAGAACGUCAAAUCAACACCAGCUGCUCUCCAAACUCCCAUGACUGUCAGGGAAGGCAUAGGCAGAGCCUUACCCCUCCUGUUUAAUAGUGUUUGUUCCCCGUAUCACCAUCAGUCAGGUUGGAACUCACACAUGACAGCUUUGAUCUUCCCAACCGUGCUGCAGGAAGUCUGGCAGGACCAAGGUUGCCUGCUGAGGACCAUUAAAGCCUACUUGUUAAUGUAGCUGAUGUCUGAGGCUCCUUGCACUGAGUCCAAGAGCCAGGGUUAGUCUUGGAAAUGAGCACAAGUGAGUUCCUACAGCCCCUAACACCUGCGCUGCUGUCCAGGGACCACCCACGCCUCCUCCAACUCUUCUGCUUUCCACUGAGCAUUAUCAAGACCACAGAAAGUCUCUGGCUGGGACCAGCCAGGAGGAUGUGUGUGUGAUGCAGAAGGAUUUUCCAGCAUAAAGCUGUUCUGCCUUCCUAAGAGCCAUUGCUUGUUCCCAGUUAACAGUUCCUUUCCUUGUGAACACUGACAAUAUCUCUCAGUUCAUAAAGUCUGCUUAUGUGUUAAGUAUAGACCUCACAUGUGUUCGGAAGUGUCCUCAUUUGUUCCCUGACAAGAAGGCAGAGCAGUGGUUUGUCCUGUGUACUGUAGGCAUGUCUGAGACCAUGACUUCAUGCCCUAUGAGCAUAUACAUCUUUGUCAUACCCGUGGAGACAAGAGAUGCAAUGCAACAUAGAUGGUCUUAGUUAUGGGCUGUAAAGGAGCCCAGUCAGGGUCUGACCUCAGUCACAGGCAUGGAGGAGACCAGAACCACCCAUCACCAGCUUCUGAAAGCAGCAGUCAGAGGCUCUGCUUUGUAUCUUGGAGAAACUCGGCUCCCGCCCCAUUUCCACUUCUGCAGCCAGGCUUGCGAGGUUCAAGGACUAAUAACAGCCUGAAAUAUUCUCUCAAUAGCACCAGCAGUGCUAGUUCUGAGCAACUGUACAAAGUCUUGCCAGAGAUGUUCAGCAGCUUCUGUGCUGUUCACUUGCCCUUGACCUUUCUUCCCACAUGUACCCAUUUCAAUUUUGGCUCAUGCCAAAGCUAACAAGCCACUGCAUUGCUGCCGCUCUCCAUUACUGUUCCUUUUGCCCCUCCUUCAUGUCCGGGUCCAUGUUCCUCUCCGCUUGUCAUCUCUGGCAGCAGAGCAGCUGUGUCAGCCAAAGCCUUACUUGAGGGGAAAAAAAUAAAUUUCUCCAAGAGGGAGUCUUACUAGGACUGGCUGAAAGAAAGUGAGUUUCUUCAACCAAGUCUUCAAAUACAGCAGUAAUCAAGGAACCCUUGCAUUCUGCAAAAGGAGAUGCAGAAAGCAAAAGAAAUCUCCUGCAAGAGGGAUCUGACCCUGAGUUACACUGAGGACCUUCUCUGUGAAGGGCCAUCAUUGCCAGCAGGGAUGAGGAGGGCUAGGGACAGAGCUGGGUUGUGAAGAGCCCUAAGUAAUGGACCCAGGGGACCGGCAUCUCACCUAUGGAACUGUAAACACAUCUCCUCUGGACUCAGCAUGCAUUUGACUUUGCAGGAGCGUUUGUAUCUUCCAAAGCAUGGCUGCUCUCCCCUCCCUCACCCACAGGACAAUUAGCAAGGUCUGACACUUCCUUCCCUAUAUCUUCUGGGACAGUUUUCUUCUCUUUAGACCCCAAAGUCGCACCAUCAGACAGAGCAAGACACAUUUAUCCCUUAAAGUCUGCAGGCAACCAUCUCCUUGCUGUGAUCCACCCCUGCUGCCCAGGACUCCUCCUCUCCCUACUGCUUUUUGCACAAACCCUGCACUGUCUGCCAAGGGGUGGGAACACUUUUCCUAUGACAACUCGCAAAGCCAAUACAAGGAAGCUCUACUGAUCCCAGUGACGUGCUCCCAUCCUCCCAAAGCCAGCAACACAGCCAGUACAGUUCGCCCCCCCACUAGCCCAACUCAAGACUCAUACACAGAGUACGGUCCCACCAUGGUGUACUGCUCUUUUCCUAGGCCUGGCACGUGCUGUCUCCAGACUCCCUGCCUCAACGUGAUAUGGUAUGACACCAGCAUGCAAAAGUUCAGCUUUCCAUUAUACGCAAUUCAAGGCAUUUAGGCUGUAUCAAACACAGAAAAUGCUUAUGAUUCUGCAUCACA